rnacentral:rRNA from 1 species
GGGAGGGGUCUGCGGAAGGAUCAUUAAAUAAUUUAGAUGGCCUUUGCUAGUUUUCUAGCGAAUGGUUCAUUCUUUUUUACUGUGAACUGUUUUAAUUUUUCAGCGUCUGAGGAAUGUCUUUUAGCCAUAGGGAUAGGCUACUAGAAUGUUAACCGAGCUGAAAGUCAGGCUUAGGCCUGGUAUCCUAUUAAUUAUUUACCAAAAGAAUUCAGUAUUAUAAUUGUAACAUAAGCGUAAAAAACUUAUAAAACAACUUUUAACAACGGAUCUCUUGGUUCUCGCAUCGAUGAAGAACGUAGCAAAGUGCGAUAACUAGUGUGAAUUGCAUAUUCAGUGAAUCAUCGAGUCUUUGAACGCAACUUGCGCUCAAUGGUAUUCCAUUGAGCACGCCUGUUUCAGUAUCAAAAACACCCCACAUUCAUAAUUUUGUUGUGAAUGGAAAUGAGAGUUUCGGCUUUAUUGCUGAAUUCUUUAAAAUUAUUAGGCCUGAACUAUUGUUCUUUCUGCCUGAACAUUUUUUUAAUAUAAAGGAAUGCUCUAGUAAAAAGACUAUCUCUGGGGCCUCCCAAAUAAAUCAUUCUUAAAUUUGAUCUGAAAUCAGGCGGAUACCCAAUG